UUCAGCAAGACUCCCAGAAAAAUGAAUAGAAAAAUCUAUCGAUAUUUAAGUUAUAGCUUUUUUUUUUUUUUAAUUUUAAUUACGUAAAAUCGUGAUUGGAAAAAUUCAUUACAAUAAAGGACAAUUGUCGUCUAAGCGUGAAUUUUAUAGGAACUAAAUCGUGAAAAAGGAACAAUUUGGUAUUACCCGACCAGCGCAUCUUCUCCAUUUUAAAGAUGCACGACUGUUUCAAAAAUAACUUUUAACCGUAUCAGUAGGCCGUGAUCUAUCUCUCCGACUGUCGUCCUCUGCUCACUCCGAAUCUACACUCAGUCAAUCAGACCAACUGUUCUUCGUUCUUUUUUUAGUCUUCCUCUUUCAUUUCUAAAAGACACAUGGCCUUCAAAGUUCCGAAAGUUGCUGUGUUCACGGGGUCGGCGUCAAAAACACGUUUGACAAGCCGAUUACAGCACGGCAUAGUCUUAAUAACUAUAUAGCGUUUCUCAAAUCACCGGAGGUAGACACUCUCUUGUGCCCGCUCUCAUUUGAAUGAGAAUUUGGGCUGCAUCGCGUACACUUCACGUGACACAUCUAGCAAUCACGGGACGACACUCACAACUCUCAUUAUUGCCAGACAAGGACUAUAGCACCCCAAUGAACUCUCAGACCCACCUGUAUAGGCAUGUCCCUAAAAGUGAUCGGACGCCUCUAAUCAAUCCGUCCCUAUAAAGAACUGGCCCCACUCUGGGAUCAUCAUCAGUCUCUUAAAUCUGGCUACACCUCCUCAAAGGGUCUAACCCCUUUUUGUUUUCUUCUCAUUUACCUGCCAACAUUUCACUCGAUCGUUACAAACGUGGAUCUCUUCCAGCGCUAAACAGCUUAAAUGCUCGCCAAACUCACGAUUUACGUCUUUCUCAACUACCUUUACAGCAAUUAUUUGGCAUGGCCUGUGGUAUCGGCGACGGACAGCGACCUGCCGCAAUUUGAAUUGGCCGCCACCGGAUCCCAUCUGAAGAAGAAGACGGUGGAGCCGCUGCUGCGUUUUCCAUUCAUCCAUUCGUUAGCUAAUCCGUGCGGGUUCGCCUUGAAUUCAACUUCAUCCUUCCCUACCAUACAAAGUUGGCUGACUGAACGACAAGUGAACCACUUGGAGACGACACCUGCUCCGCUGGGCAAUCUGCGACCGGUAGACCUUAGCGGCGAAUCGACGUUGGCCCAGCAGAGUCUUGCCUUUCUCGCCCCAUUCCGCGAAAUCCUGUCGGUGCCAAACGGCCCUCGCUAUUCCGGCGUGAAAUAUUCCAGUGAAGACCAGCGUUCCUUGACGGAAGAAUUGAAACUUGUCACCUCUGAAGCUGGGCAUUUGAUCCGCCGCAUUUACUCGCCGUCGGGUUUACAUAGAUGCGGUGGUUUUCAUUUGCAGUCGUUGCCACGAGAGGAUUUCAUAGUUUCACCGACGGGCAACAUCCAGCUGGAAGAAGUGUAUCGCACUUUGCUGAUAUUAUCUACUCAUUUGCAUUUGAUGAUUCGCGAUGCGUACGACUCAACUCGAUUUUGUCCAUCGGAGAAUUACGUCCGUCUUCGAAACAUACAACAGUUAACCGGUAAAGUGGAAACGUCCAUGUGCUUGAUUUUGCAUUCGGCUCUGGUGACAGAAAAUUGCGACAAUGUCAAUUAUUUCCGAGUGACGCGUCAAAUUCUUCAAUCCUACGUCCAUCGCUAUUACGAUUGCUCUGCCAGAGAAAUUCGAAGAUGUUUGGUGAUCCGCUACGGCGAUCGAAUUUUGAGCCUCAUCGAACGUCAUAUUCAAUCGUAAAAGACAUCCCAACUGGAGAUAUACGCAUUCAAAUUGGAAAUUCAGCGCCAUUCGGGGCUGCUACACGCGCACAAAAACAUACUUGGGCCGCCAUUUUUGUUUAUCUUCUUCAACACGAGCAGCAUUUAAUUUGGGCAGUAAAAUAUACGGGUGGGCUGUUCUGUCUUUACGGUGGAAGGUAUUAAUUAGCAUUGCCGUGGGGUUUCAAACUAUACAACUCGAGUGGUCAAACAAUUCAAUGGCCGCAAGGAAUAAAAAAAUUUAAGCAUUCA
rnacentral:misc_RNA from 1 species